rnacentral:rRNA from 1 species
GGAUGAACGCUGGCGGUCUGCUUAACACAUGCAAGUCGAACGCAACCUUCGGGUUGAGUGGCGGACGGGUGAGUAACGCGUGAGAAUCUGCCUUGGGGUCGGGGACAACCACUGGAAACGGUGGCUAAUACCGGAUAAGCCUUUGGGUAAAAAAUUUAUUGCCCCAAGAGGAGCUCGCGUCUGAUUAGCUAGUUGGUGAGGUAAGAGCUCACCAAGGCAGCGAUCAGUAGCUGGUCUGAGAGGACGAUCAGCCACACUGGGACUGAGACACGGCCCAGACUCCUACGGGAGGCAGCAGUGGGGAAUUUUCCGCAAUGGGCGAAAGCCUGACGGAGCAAAACCGCGUGAGGGAGGAAGGCUCUUGGGUUGUAAACCUCUUUUCUCAGGGAAGAAGCUCUGACGGUACCUGAGGAAUCAGCCUCGGCUAACUCCGUGCCAGCAGCCGCGGUAAUACGGAGGAGGCAAGCGUUAUCCGGAAUUAUUGGGCGUAAAGCGUCCGCAGGUGGCGAUUCAAGUCUGCUGUCAAAGCACGGGGCUUAACUCCGUUAAGGCAGUGGAAACUGAAUAGCUAGAGUGCCGUAGGGGUAGAGGGAAUUCCCGGUGUAGCGGUGAAAUGCGUAGAGAUCGGGAAGAACAUCGGUGGCGAAAGCGCUCUACUGGACGGCAACUGACACUCAGGGACGAAAGCUAGGGGAGCGAAAUGGGAUUAGAUACCCCAGUAGUCCCUAGCUGUAAACGAUGGAUACUAGGUGUAGCUUGUAUCGACCCGAGCUGUGCCGAAGCUAACGCGUUAAGUAUCCCGCCUGGGG